GACGAACCGAGCGAACGUUGUUCGGAAUAACUGGGCUUAAAGGGCGCGUAGGCGGGCCGCCAAGUUCGAGGUGAAAUCCUCCGGCUCAACCGGAGAACUGCCUCGAAUACUGGAGGCCUCGAGGCGGGUAGGGGCAUGCGGAACUGUGGGUGGAGCGGUGAAAUGCGUAGAUAUCUGGAGGAACACCGGUGGCGAAGGCGGCGUUCUGGACUGCAACUGACACUGAGAAACGAAAGCCAGGGUAGCAAACGGG
rnacentral:rRNA from 1 species